rnacentral:rRNA from 1 species
AUUGAACGCUGGCGGCAGGCCUAACACAUGCAAGUCGAGCGAGCGGCGGACGGGUGAGUAAUGUCUGGGAAACUGCCUGAUGGAGGGGGAUAACUACUGGAAACGGUAGCUAAUACCGCAUACCAUCAGAUGUGCCCAGAUGGGAUUAGCUUGUUGGUGGGGUAAGGGCUCACCAAGGCGACGAUCCCUAGCUGGUCUGAGAGGAUGACCAGCCACACUGGAACUUAGACACGGUCCAGACUCCUACGGGAGGCAGCAGUGGGGAAUAUUGCACAAGGGGCGCAAGCCUGAUGCAGCCAUGCCGCGUGUAUAAAGAAGGCCUUCGGGUUGUAAAGCACUUUCAGCGGGGAGGCGUUACACGCAGAAGAAGCACCGGCUAACUCCGUGCCAGCAGCCGCGGUAAUUC